rnacentral:sRNA from 1 species
GAUAAGUAAAAGAAAACCUCAAUAUUUGAAUGGAGUAGCCGUUGAAUUCAUUGCAGCGUUUAAAGUGAACAGAUUACGCUCUGUUAUUUUGGGACGCUUAAAUUUUAACAAUAGGUGGCGCUAGAAAACCUAGUUAUUACCGGUUAAGCUCAGCGGGAGAUUAGUCUACUCUGGUGGGGUAUUGAUCAGGGAAGAUUAGCGGGUUGAUCUAAAUAUGGAGGAUGAUUUUAGAUCGGGGGCAUUUCCGCUGCAGCUGGCUUUAAAAGCUCGGAGGCGUGCAGUUUCGCUCUCUUUUUUGUGUGCGCAGCCGUAAGGGACAGUCGCGUCUACGUUGAUUUAAAAUCGGGUACUAACCUCGUGGAAAAGAAAAAUUAAACAACAAAGUGCUAAAAAGUGGAAAUAGAAAGGACUAUAGCCAGGAGCGUUAUCUACGAGAAGCCCGGACUGCUGACUUUAGCAGGAGCUAUCUGCCUUUGGCCAGCCGCCAAAUUCAACAGAUUUGAAAGGGGCCGGAUCUGCGGUUCGGCCCUCUUAAUCCUAAAUUAAACAUAAACGGGAAAUUCGUUGAGGGACUGAUAAAAAUUUGGCGGAUGAAAUGAUUUGACGACGCUCCCAAAUCUCUUGUACCUCGUCCCGAGCUCCGGCCCUGU